GUACUUUAUCACACUUCCUGACAUCUUUGGAUUUUACUAUUAGCAAGCUGACACUGUGGAGAAAGCUCUGGGGACACGCAGCAGUGCGCAGCAGGGAGCGGUCCUUGUUACACACCACGCACAGUGUUUUUCAAGCAGAACACCUAUUAUGAUGGACUUCAGACAUGCUUUGGAUCUACUAAAUGCUUCCUACUUAUAUUGGCUUUAUGAUAAAGAGCUUGUACGAUGAUACCAGCUGGUCUACAAAAUACAUCAUAUCACUCUGAACUACCAGGUAUGCUACUGUCAGAUCUCAAAACCAGUGUGCGUGGACAGGAAUGUCGCUGGUAGGCAUCCUGUAAAGCACCGACUGUGAUGAAAGAAGAAACUAAGCC